AUUGAACGCUGGCGGCAUGCCUUACACAUGCAAGUCGAACGGCAGCACGGGUGCUUGCACCUGGUGGCGAGUGGCGAACGGGUGAGUAAUACAUCGGAACGUACCAUAUCGUGGGGGAUAACGCAGCGAAAGCUGUGCUAAUACCGCAUACGCCCUGAGGGGGAAAGCGGGGGAUCGCAAGACCUCGCGCGAUUAGAGCGGCCGAUGCCUGAUUAGCUAGUUGGUGGGGUAAAAGCCCACCAAGGCGACGAUCAGUAGCUGGUCUGAGAGGACGAUCAGCCACACUGGGACUGAGACACGGCCCAGACUCCUACGGGAGGCAGCAGUGGGGAAUUUUGGACAAUGGGGGCAACCCUGAUCCAGCAAUGCCGUGUGAGUGAAGAAGGCCUUCGGGUUGUAAAGCUCUUUUGUCAGGGAAGAAACACCGGCUCUAACACAGUCCGGGAAUGACGGUACCUGAAGAAUAAGCACCGGCUAACUACGUGCCAGCCGCCGCCGUAA
rnacentral:rRNA from 1 species